UUAUAAUUAAAAUUAUUUCUUUAUUUUUAUGAUUUUUUUCAUUAUUAUUUGCGAUAAUUUAAGAAAGUUAAAUAAUCGAAUAAUCAAACUUUAUUUUGUUAUAAUUAUAAGUAAACCAGGCGUCGUCUGCUACCGUGUUGUCAUCACAAAUUGCAAUUUGAAUUUCUUAGAAGGAAAUUAAAUUUAAUAGAUAUUUUUUAUUAUUAUUAUCGAUUCUUAUAGGAAACGAAAGGGAAAAAAAUACACCAAAUAAUAAAUACGAAUUACUUAUUUAUUGGUUUCGUAUAUUUUUAUAAAGUAGAGAAACAAGAUUACAAAAUUUUGUUGUUCCGCAGACGACAAAAGGAAAAAAUACUCUCCGCUAGAGGUCGUUGACCUGUUUGCCGACAUGGCGAUUGUUCCGAAUUUUCUCGCUCUUACACCCUUUCGCUGCGCUUUAUUUUACCAAUUUAUUUUAUUUCACGUUUAAAUCUUUUUAGAAUGAAUUAUUUAAUCAAAUAAAAUAAUGAUUUGAUACAAAAAUCUGAAUUAAGAUCGCCAUUUUUUUUCUUUUUUACCGUAGCAAAAUAUAUUUAAUGCAGUAAUUUUUAUGUAACUCAUUUAGAAUUGCCGAUGUUAUUUUUAGAAGUUUUCAUAAUUUUCUGCAUCUAAUUUAAUAGGCUGUUUAUGAUUUUUCUCUCUUUUUUUGUCAUCUUCUCCCCCAUUUUUCCUUUCCUUCACUAAACUCGAACCAUUAAGAAUGUUAAGUAAUUAGCGUAGUUGAAUUUAAUUUGAGGCUUUUCCCGUGCUAUUUUCUGGUUUAUUUAAUUUCAAUAUUCACUAAAAAUAAAUCAAAAAGAUUUUUAAUCGAGUAAACGAGAUGAUUUAAGCGGACUCGAAUCCGAUUUCUUGUUCGUAAGAGAAGCUUUAACCUACAUUUCCUAUUUAAUAUCAAUGGCUUCUACUCUUCGAACCCCUCUCCCGAUCUCUCUUCCUUAUAAUAUUUAAGGAUAAUGUAUAUAUUUUAAAAUAUUUAUAAUUAAAUUGCGGUUGUACUUCUGUAUUUUUUUUCUUUCUUUCUUUUUAAAUCGCUAAUACACGGUUGAAUGGAGGAGGAUGCAAGCUUGAAAUUAUUUGUCUCUCAGAGUGUAAGUAAAACUUUUCAAGCCAAACUCCGUGCCAAAGUUGAAAGAUGAUAACCCCAAUUUAUCAGAUCGAAUGCUUUUUUAAUCGUAUAUAUUUGGACAUUUUGAUUAGAUACACGCUUUAAAUCAAAAGAUAUGAUAGGCGAGUAACACUCACUCAUAGGAGGUAGUAGAAACUAUUAAAAUUCGGAAAUAAGUUUUCUGUCAGGAGGGAUAUUAUAAAAAUAUCUUUAAUCGAUUAUAUAUUAUCAGGAAGAAAGUUUUGAAAUUUGAAGAUAGAAAAUGGAAUUUACUUUUUGAGAAAAAGAUUCCAAUCAGAUCAAAGUCUGUUGUCUAGAACGUUUCCUGUCCAUUCCUAUUGUUUUAUGUUGUACAUAACCUUGUACUUUGACAGUUCGACCUUCAGACCUAAAGUAGCCUAGUCGAUCACUGGAUAUAGAAAAGGUCUAUUUUGUAAAAAUCUAACUUAAAAUGAUAGUAAAUCAAUUUAAAGAAUCGUCAUCGUAUGUUUAAAAUGUACCGCGCGCUCAUUCCCCGUAGGUAUCAUCGCAGCAACGGAAGAUGGCAAUUCUUAUAACAGGCAGAAUCAUAAGAUAAAUCGGAUAUAUGAUGAUGAAAGUUGUUUAUAAAAGUUAUAGAACUAAUCAUAUCACAGUAAUGAGAUUGUAAUUGUAUAACCUACUUAAGAAGUCGAGUGUGUGAGUGUGUUAGUUUUCAUAUUCCCUUGAAAUAAGUAGAUUUAUAAUUUUAAUAGCUUCCUUAAUGAAAACUUUUCUUAAUCGUUAUAUUAUCUAUCUAUUUAGAAUCGUUUUAAUCUUCCUUAAAUUUAUAAUAUACGGGAUAUAUGCCACCAUAGGGAUCUUAUCGUUUCGAAAAUAUAAUAGGCCAAUUAUAAAUUGUAAUAUCUUUAAAGUAAUGCUCUGUUUAUAUUCGUUUCUUUUACCAAAAUAUUUACAUGUUUUGUGGUUCAAUAUUUGCUUCGUUACGUUGUACAGUAGAUCUUCUUCAUAAACUAUAUGGUUUUUAUAUAGGCUACGUGUGUUGUAAGCGUACAAAAGUUGCACCUAUUGUAUAUUGUGUACGACCCGCCUACGUUGGAAUUUCAUUGAGAAUUUUUCACCCCUGGCUAAAGCUAGCUAAUAAAAGUACAAUUUUAUCGACAUCAAUAACUAAGUCGGUUAGUACAUAAAUUUACGUGAAAAUACGUCAUCAAUUGUUGCUUUUUUUUGUGGAAUUUUGCUUCACUUUAUCUUAAUAAUGUACUAUAUUUUAAUAUGUUUUUCCCCCUCUUUUAUUUAGAUAUGUUUUAUUUUUUGUAUUCAAAGUAUAAAUUUUAUAAUGGUGAAACGUGUCAUAUAAAGAUGAACAAAUUUAUGUUACGCGACUCAUCAAUAAUGUUAAAUCUGAGUAAUGUCCCUCCAUGAAAAAGUUUUCAUAAUUUCUGUUUCGGAUGAUAUAUGGUUUUAAUAUUUUAUAUUUCUACAGUUCGAAUUUUAUAUUUGCUAACGGUAUCCAUCUAUCCCAUUAGGUAUUUAAGGAACCAGGGCAUGGGAUCUGAAGAAAGUUUUACAGGAGGGAGACUAAGCUUGAAGACGUAUAUAUUUUUUUAUUUAAUUAUUUAAUUUUUUUGGGUAUUCACGAGAAAAUUAUAAAAUACAGGAUUGCAUCUAUACAGUAUAUUACUGUAUACAAAUUUACAAUAUAAAGGAAAGAAUUUUUUACUCGAUUCCACGGGGAAAGUGCAUUUACUUCCCUUUUUGAAUGCCCACAACAGUGUCUUAAAAGAAUGGAAAAAUGAAAAAAAUCGUGUAAAAUUUAACAAUUUUUUCCAAUAAAUUUAGCAAAUUAAUUUUUGUUAAAUAUAAAUUUCAAAAAUAACUUCUUUUUUUUCUGGUUUACCGUUAAUAAUGUGGAGAAAGCUCUUAUUAGAAUUAAGGUCACGUUCUCAAACGGAGAAAGUGAUCUCGGGUGAUCUUGACACAAUAUGACUUUUACAUAUUAGCAACAAUUACGAAAGAUAAACCUAAUAUACGAGCAAUAAUUUAUUUAAUAAUUAGAAAGAGUUUAAUACGAGAAAAAUUGCAAGAACCUUGCAAGAAAUUGCCUUUUUACACAGUUUCUUACGAUUAAAAUUAACGAAAAAAUAAAAAAAUCUUAUCUUAACGCACUUUUCUAUCAGUUAAUUCCACGUCAAAACAGAUUUAUUUUGAAAUGGGAAUUGUGUUUACGUGUAAAUUAUACAACUUUUAUGAUUAAAUUAGAUGAUACCCAUCUUUAUAUUGUCUAAUUAUAUUCUAUUUAUAAAUAUAAGUAGGCGAUGCAGAAUUAAUUAGUUCGUGCAUAAUGAUUUAUAAAUAAAUCUCGAUCGUGGGAAAAUGUCGGCCGGUUUAACGACCAGCCAAUAUAUAUUAUUAACAUUGUAUAACUUAGAAUUUACUUUGUGUACUCGACUGUACUUACGUAUGGAUGUAAUAAUAUAGGAAAUACUUCCGUUGUUUACGGGAAUGAAUUCAUUGAUUACGUAAUUCAACAAUUACAGUAUAGUUGCAACAAGUUUUGCUGUUAAAUAAGAUAUUUGCUAGAAAAGUUCUCUUUCACCUACAAGGUCUCUAAUUUUACAGGUGGGUUAAGUGUUUAUUCCAAUAAUAAGGUUAAUUUUCAUAAUUUUAGCUUCCUUGUUAAUGAAUUUUAUCAACGUGAUACUUAGGGAACUUCGUGGAAAUUGUGAAAAAGGUAUUGUUAAGUCUGUCCCCAAGAUAUUGAGUUGAGAUACACGCGAUGAAUAUUUGAUAUUUAACAAAUUUAUUUUAUUUUUAACACUACACGAAGCAAAUAUAAAGAAAAAAUAAGGAUGAAUAUGUAAUUUUAAAUCGGAAAUUAAUAUGAUUUUUUUUAUUUAGGAUAGUAAACAGAAAACAAGAGAAAAAGCAAGUGUUGGACACCUUAAGUACGAAAACACCUCCGUAGCUUAUAAGUUAUUCCCCUCCUUUCCAGACCUAACUAAUCGAUCAGUAACCCCUAUCAGACAUUUGGCGUCUGACAGGCGGGUUUAGUUAUAUAAAAUUUCUUCUUAAUUAGAGUAUAGUAAUAUUUAUUUAUUAUUCUAUUCUAUUCUAAUCUAUGGCUUAGUCUCGAUGAUAUAAUAUAGGAAUUGGUCUAGUGUUUCUGUACGUAUGUAUGUAAUUCUACUUAAUGUUUGAAUAUCGAAAUUAUUUUAAUGCUUUGUACGUUAUCGAUCACACUUAGCACCUUAAAUCAAUAUUAGGGAUACAAUAGUUUAAAGCCCUAAUUCGGACUAUAUUAUGAAACGUUGAUGAUGACUGGCGAAUCGAUGACGAAACACACAGUUUAGCCUUGUUUUCAUACUUAAUUUCGUAAUAAAUAUGAAAACUGCUUAUUGUUUUAUAUAAUGCAAGCGUAAUUUAUUGAAUACGUUUAUCAUUUUGUUAAAUAUUACUGUUAUUUCUUACUUUGCAAACCGAAUUUUUAUUGUCUGAGCGUUUUAGUGUAUGGAACUUUUAUUAAGUGGAAGAGCCGUCGGCAAUCAAUUCAAACGUAUACGGUAAAACCUGUCUAAAACGGAAACCGGAAAGACAUUCGAUCGGUUUACGCAGGUUACGCCGUAAUCGUUAUAAAGUUAUUAACACGAAAGCCAUGAAUUAAUGAUUUCGAUUUUGAAAACGGAUGCCAUCCGCGCUGUUUACAUUUGAAAUUUUCUCGACUAAAUUCAUUCAGGAUCAACUAAUUUUCGCAUGGCUGUCUAUCCGUAAAGUAUCGAUCGAAAAUAUUAAUCUAUAUAUCCGAGUAAAAAGAAAAAGCGCAUAAAUUUUCUCCCGUUUUAUUAAAUCAGAAAUACCAAAAUAGAGAGAAGCCCCCUUAACGUUUCUCAAUGCUCGUUUUGGCAAACACAUUUAUCUGCAAGUCUCGUGUACGGAUGAGAAUAAUUUACCGUCAAUAGCCUUUGAUUCCAGACAUUAUUUACAAAUGUAAAUCCAUGUUCCAGGGCAUUACUCCCAAUUCAUUUGCAUUCAUAAACCUACACGGCAUCAUCCCACCAUUGCCACUCUCCCCUCUGAAAUAAAAGGCGAAUUUCAUUUUCUAAUUUUAAAUUUAUCCGCAUCAUAUAAUAAUUUUAAUAUAUUUCUUUUUUUUUCCCCUGUGUUUACGGGCUUAUCGAUUAAGGGUUACGCGUUGCAGGCUCCUAUUGUGUUUUUAAAAAUAGAUCUUAAGCUUAACAAUGUCCUGGCAUACAAAGGAUAUUUAAAAAAAAAUUAAAAUAAGCUUCUAUUAAACACAAUUUAAACUGGUUACAUUAAAAAUAAUUAAUAAAAUAAGUUUAUAAAGAACAUUUAAGCCUUUCCUUUGAGAAGAGACAUCGGUUUGAUCCUGAGAAAAAAUUUUUCAAUAUAGACGGCGUCACCUUGUCGUAACGGAAAAUGAAUGACGUCACUAGUUGGUGUCGUCACGUUCCGACAAAUCGACCAAUGACGUACUAUAACGAGCACGUGUUCUUUUACAUUACAUUCGAUAAUCUCGUCUUAAGGGUCGAUUAAUAAAUAAAACUUUUUAAUCGGAAGUUUCUUUUCGUAAAAUAAAUCUGACUAAAAAUAUUACAAUGGUUGGUUAGUGAUUGUUAGCGGAGGCGAAGGGCCAGUAGUAGUGAUGGGAGCAACGGUUUCUAUAGCAACGCGACUGGUGACAAACACCCACUGGUCAGGCGGAGAAAAAUGGGAGUAAUGUAAGUGGGAUGGCAAACCUUUCAGACUUUCAGGCGAGGGCGUCAAAAGUCAAAGGUCACCAUGGUUAAUACGUGACCUUGCCAAUUUAGUCGAGAUAGAGUGAAGAAAUUUGAUUAUUUUUUUUUUCUUUAUUUAGAAUAACACAGAAAGCUAUCUUCAGACUCUCCACUCUAAUUUUUAGUUACUUUUAAAAAUUUUUAAAUGGGACAAAAUGGCGACGCCUUUCAAAGUUUGUUCUAUUAGAUGAAUGUGAUGCCCAAUUCUGCAGCGAAAACUUCACGUGGCCUCCUCGGAUAAACGCGUAAAGACACAGAAGAGUAAUUUAUAAACAAUACUAAACACAACGUUUAGUGUUACAUUCCGUUGCAGCCACAUUCUCGUGUGUGGCACAUAGUUUUACACUUUUUAAUGGUGUUGUUGGUCGAGAUUAGAAGGUUGACGCCCGCAUCUGAUCAUCGUUUGUUAAACCGAGGAUACAGUUUGCGUGGCUCAAGAUAAGAAAAAUGAAGUAGGCCUAGUAAUAUCAGCUCAACAACUUCGUCUAUCUAAUUGAUAAGAUAACGUCUUUCCGGUUGCUCAUAAUGAUAGUAGGAAUGAAAUAUCGGAGUCGAGGAUUUAUUCACCGGAAAUAUCCUAAUAUUUCAGAUUAAAAAAUAAUGAAAGGAACAAAUUAGAUGGCUAAGAAGAAAGGAAACAGACACAUCUGUACGUGGCACGAAUAAGUGCAGCAAUGUCGAUGCCAUUAGAAGGUUUAGCAUCUAGUUGUAUCCGCUGAAUCUUCUAUAUCGCGUGACUUUAGAAAUAUUAUAAUAAUUACUAUAACAGAAUGUAUUUUAUUAACAACAACUUAAGAAUUUCUUAAGAUAAUGAAUUUGAAUGGUGGACCAGAAACCAUUCGGCAAAUGAGUGUAUGUCAUAUUCUAGUCGGUUUGUUUCAAAGCAUUUAGUAUUUAAGUUAAUAUAUUCCUUUGAUGGGGAGUAAGAACAAUGGAAACAGUGAAAUCCCACGCAUAUUAUGCCUGGGGAAAUUUUCCUAGCCGCACAUUCUGUUUAAAUGUAACUUUCUUGAUUAUUCUGCUUGCUGCUUCUGGGAUUAGCUCAAAUGUUACCAGAUACCUGGUUUAUUAAACAAGUUAAAUGUUUAUUUCGAAAUUAUUACUGGAAAGAUAAAAGUAAUUACAAAAAUAUAAUUUUCGUCUUAUUAAAGACAAUGCGUUUGUUUUGUUUAUUUUGCCGAAAAGACAGCGUAAAUAUUACUUGAGAAGCGAUAAAAUUAGUAUUUCUCACCAUUGUGAUUUAAGAUAACAAUUAAAUCGAUUGUUUGAUAAUUUUUUAAGCAUACAAUGAAUGGUGUGUAUACUAGUACAAUGACCAUUGAAUUUCACGAAAUUUUUUGUAAAAAUUAACAUUUUUUAUGUUGAUUCAGUGAUGUAACUAUAAGGUUUUCCUCGGGGGACGAUGUGUGAGGAUAGUUUAAAAAGUACAAUCAGAAGAAAGGAAAAUUAAAGUUACCACAAAAUCUGUGGGAGAAUAAGAUACCAUAAAGUACCAUAACAUUCAGAGGAUGAUCUUGGAAGAUUGUGUAGAAAGUACAGUACAAUCAGAAUGAAGAAAAAUUAAGCAUACCAUAAAGCCUGUGGAGGGAUUCAACCUCCCUACAAGAUUUUCCUUUAAGUCUACCGUUGUGUAAUUAGUUUCCGAAUCAGAUAUUCAAAACGCUUCUUAAUAGAUUCGGAAAAGCUAUAUCAUGUUCACAAGGAAUAAAAAUACUUUGAUUUGUUAAUAAAAUUCUCCAUUUAUUUGAGUAUCAAUUUUCGUUAUAGAGUAUCUUCUUCCGCCGUAUUUCUUCCGUCUCGGUCAGUGCUCUUUUUUUUAGAGUGAUAACCAGACAAUGCAAUAUAACUAAAAAGAAAACAAUUUGGCAAACGUCCAGUGUUUCAUUGAACUAAACAAUAUUCUAUUUUAAGUAAUUUCCAUAAGCGAUAUGGAAUCAAUCUUCUUACUCGAGAUAGACUCGAGCUGACAGAAUUUCUUAAGAGGGAAGAGUUAUUCCUACAAUAGUAAUAACUAAAAUAUAUUCCAUUGUUUUAAUCCCCCUCUACACUACAAAAAAAAAAUCGAUUUAUAUAAUUAUUCCAGUAUUACGUCUCGGUUCCGAUGGCCACUUCCGGUUGCUUCACACCUGGUGUCGGACUAACUUCCGGUAGAGGGUGGCAAGUGACUGAGACGAUCGUCAUCGAUUGGAGAAAGUCAAGGUUCUUGACCUCUCAAAAACUUAAGUUUUAAGGUUUUAUUCGUAUACGAUAUUCGAAAAUGUUACGUCACAAUAGUAUAGAUCUUAAUCUGCGUUUUGCGGUUUUGUCUGAUCCCUAACGAUCUUAAUACAAAAUAUUUUAUAGUAAAAAUGCUUCUUAGAGUCUUAAAAAAAAAACGAUAAAUUUCAUCGAUUUUACACUUUUUCUAUAUAAAAUUUCAGGGUAAAUUUCUCGCCGUAUGUAGAUUUAAGCAAAUGAUUCAUGCAAGCUUGCAAAUUACCUUUAUCUAGAAGACAAAUCUAGAUUAUUUGCUUAUUAUUAUUGAUAUUUAGUUGAAUUUUUCGUAAAUUUUACAUGGUCUUAAUUUAGAUUCGGAUACUUAACGAAUGACGGUAUUUGUUGAGCCGAACGGCGUUCUCUUUGACCUCAAAUUGUUUCUAAGUAUGACCUUGUCUACGUUGACCUCUUUAGUUCAUACGAUGUAGUUGGGUGCGGUCCAGUAAUGAAGCGCGACGAAUUCGACGGAAACGGAAAUGAGGAAGCAGAGAUGAUUGGCAUACAAUUGAGAUAAGAAAAUCAUCUCGGAAUUUUUGACGAAAAUUUUUCAUCUAACGAUUUAUGUAUUUUUAACGCUCUAUGACUUUUAGAAGUGUUAAUCUUUUAUCUCGGCCAUUCGCUGAAUGCCAAUGAUCUAAUUUCUAGAAUCUCGGGUUUACAAACCUGAUCGGAAUUCAGAUUGAUCCGCGGUUCGAAAAUCCAAACUGCAGCCCUCAGAUAAUAAUAAACGAUAGUUAAUGAGGUGUAGUUUUUUUUAAUCGAGGAUCAUUAUUAAUUAAAGCUAUCCCAUCAAAAUUGGCAUAACUCUAUUAGUUGUGGACUGUUCCUUUAAGGCCCUAAGAGCAACUUUCACAUAAGAUCUUUUAUGCAAAACUGUGUUUUUGAAUGAAAAAGUCAAUAAAAUCCUUAAAUAAUACCAAAUUUAUAAUUUAUUUAUUUAAUUUGUCUAGUUAAUACACGACUUGCAACGUUAAAUUUCAUGGUUUUAACUGUACAAAUUGAUCGAUAAUGCUGCCAUAAUUGUAUAAUAAUGCCUUUUUAAAAGCGUAUUGUCUUUUUGCUACGUAAUUUUCGAGGCCUCUCGAAGCGACGAGGCCCUCGUCACGCGCGCCCAUUGGGUAAUCCUCCGCCGAACCUUAUCUAAUGGUAAAAGUUACAAGAAGAAAAUAAAAUUUAUUACGAAUAAUUUUUCUAAAUAUACUUUUCUAAUAUUGUAAAAUAUAGGCUGAUAAUAAUAUUGAUCGAUAGGGAAAUUUAACUUCUUUCUGACGAUUUAAAUACGGGUUGUUUGUGUGUUUAGAACUUCUUUGCAGAUCGAUACGUACUUUGCAGGCUCGAAAUAAGGUUUUAAAUUCGUUAAUAUAUAAAUAAAUGCGAUUUUUUACGUGAAAAAUUCAUCUCAAAACUACGAAAUCCGGCCUUUUUUUUUUUUAAAGUUAACGAUUUGCAAGACGAUAUCGACAUUCUAUUUCUGAUCGUAUCUAUAUGAUUCAUAUGCCUGCACUUAAAAGUUAAUUCUUUCUGUCUCAUCUCGUCCAUCUUAAAAUUCUAAUUUCGAUUCGGCUCGGAUCUUUAUUAUAUAUAUAUAUGUAUUUAGGGCGUUGGCAUUUCUAUCGAUAAUCACGUGACGGGACCGAACGUGCGAAACGAACUCUUCGGUCAGUUCCCGCAAUUAAGUAGCGCUUUUAUCUCACGCUCCCUUAAAUCCCGACCUCUUUUAUAAAAGUCGCGUCCAGUUUUGAAUCGGACGGAAUUCAAACGUAACCGACUCUAUUAGCGCGGGUUGCCGCCAGGUGGACGAGGACGUUGAACCAUGCCGGAAGUGACGUCGGCGAGUUGGAAUGCGUCUGAACCCAGUAACUCCGAACAAUUCGUCACGAAAUGCGAUUUCUUACACUCGGCGCCGAACGAAAUUUCGAAACGAUCCGACGAAAUAAAUUCUAAUUUUUGUAACCAUUUACAUAUUAUUUUUGUUUUGUUUUGUUUUGUUUUUUUAAAGUAAAUUUCAGUUCGGGUAGCGUUCGAAAUUUGACCCAUUUUUUUUUUUUUUUUUUUUUUAAAUGUCAGCCUUAAGAGUGGUCCAAAAUUUGCUCUUUCCUGCGUUUUUGGCAAUUAGCGGAUGAGAUCGUUUAGGAAAAAGGCCAGAGUGGUAAUUUAUAGAUUAGAAAAUUUGUCUUCUCCGGAUAUUUUUAGUGUUGCGCAAUAAAAUCCGCAAUCCAGUGGGGAAGUUCAAUAAAAAGCAUAGAGAACGUCUGGCUAACUCACUCGAAAAUUCAUAAAAAUCCACGGUAUCCGAAAAAGAGGAGAGAAAACAAAUAUUUGGGAUUCCUAACAAAAUUUCCUAAUAAUAAUAAUAGUAAUAAAAAUAAAAUUAAAAUUACUGCUCUGUCUCUCUUAAGUUCACAAUUAAAGGGUGAUUCUUAAUUUCCGAAAGCUGCCGAAAUUUUUCGAGUUGAUAAACUCUACUUAUCGUGAAAUUGCCCGAUCGCGCCACGUACAAUUAAUCAUUCAAAAGACGGAAAAAAUACCAAAAAUAACAAAAAUAAAAAUAUAUUAAAAAAAAAUUCGUUGCUGUCGUUAAAACGGGGAAGAAAAAAAAGCGGUCGGAGACUAAAACCACCAAGACAUUCCAGUUUAAAUUCCGUAGAAAAAGUCAAAUCGAUCCGGUAGCAGUCGAGCAAAAUAAAAAAAGAAAAAGAAAAAAAAAGCAGAGCCGCAUUGCUGCCAAAGGGAGGGGAUAGAAAAUGGCGACACACGUGGUGCGCGACCGGCCGAAACGCACGGGUCAUGUGACCUGCAGCGCCGUCGCAAUACGGCACGAGACGCGACUCCUCCCACCUCGAGAUGCUCCAGUCGAGUCGCACGUGUGCAAGGUAAGAGUAUGGGAGUAGGUUAGGCUUAACUAACCUUCCUGGUAUUAACGUCGGGGGGAGGGUGUAUUUCACGGGAUUUUUAGUAAGUUUAGGAAGGACGCACGCUCGGGUUAACGUCGCCUGUUAAAUUCCGGUGUCUUGGCCAGCUUGCAAGGUGAGUAACGCAGUUCCAUUCCAGUCAUUGCUCGCAGUUUAAAAGGUGAGGUUAGAACGUUCCGUAGUUUAAUGUUGACACCCGGGUAGAGUGCAGAGUAUUAUCGAUUCGUCAUCGAAUCGUCUACGCAAUUUGGCGUUAAAGUCGGCGCAUGGUUUCUUAUUGUGUAACUGCGUCGCACGGAUCGACAGCGCGUAAUGUACCGAAAUUCCUAUCGUAUCCUACGCACGCCGAAGGAAAACGGGGUACGUUAGCCCCGGGCGUAAUCUGUCUUGCAACGUCUGGAUCUGGUCGGAUAAUGCCAUAUUAAACAGUUAAAUGUUACGACGCGGAAUGACGCAUUGAAUCGGUUCUUAAAUAUUCACAGCAUUUCCGGUGCCGCCUACCGUAUUACAGAUCACAACUGGGGGAAUUCCUUUGACGUCACGUGACGGAGCUUAACGUAAAAGGGGGGAAACGACGGAAGCUGGGUUUAUAGACCGAACGGGGAUUUCGGGACGUCUUCGAAGGUCCGAGUGACUCUAAACGCAAAAGUUGGUCGAGCAGACGACGAAAAUUUUGCGAUGAACAACCUAGUCGACGGCUAUUACGCAUGCGCCUAACCGAGGGUCGUUUCUGUACGCUUCACCUGAAGUCUCGAUCGUCUCUGCCCGAUCUAGAGGGAUUUUUUAAAAAGUCUCCUCUGUUUUUAACGGUGAGUUUUUAAUUCAUUUACUUCCAAACUCUUAAUUGGGGUUGCAAAUAAACGUUACGCUUAAAGUAGAAAUGAUAUCUUCACACGGGUGAAGAGGAAUACGCAGUUGGGUAAGGAUUGUAUAUUACGCCUUCUACAAGUUGUAGUUAAAUUGUUCUGUGUUCUUUUUUUACUUUUUUAAAGAAGUGUACGGUAGAGUAGAGAAUGACGAAACAGAACUAGCUGCGUUCCGAUGUUGGAAAGGCAUUCUUACCCCUAGGCACAAUCCCUUAAAGGUCGCUGCCCGUUUUGUAUCAAAGGGUUAAAAACAACGCGUCGCUUCCACUAGAAAAAUUUGUAAAAAUUGUUAAUGAUUUUGGCCAUUCCGAGAAUCGUUGCGUGGAACGAAUGCGUUUGUUUCACGAAAACACUCCAGCAAAAUCCAAAGGUUAGUUAAUAUUGUCUUGCAGAAAUCUCCGAGAAAUUUGUAAAACUGCUUACGAAUUUGAACAGGUGCCGCCUGUAACGAGGGUGUACGACUGUCCCGUUUCUUCUUAAAAAAAAAAUUCUUUAUAAAAUUGAUCGAUCGAUAUUUAGUUUUGUUUAAAAGAUUUAUAUAUUGCUACAAUUGAUCGACGCUUGGUGCAAUAUCUUUUUUUUUUAUUUAUUUAUUUCCACUCCUUUGCCUGGCUGCUGCUACAGGUGCGCGAUUUCAAAACUUUGAUUCUUAGUAUGUCAUAUAUUUAAAUUUUAGUGUUGUGGUUGGGAAAAAAAUCAACACCCUAGACAAGUCGAAAUUGGGUAGUGACGAAUCUUCCGAGAAUAGUUCCCUGAUUCAUGUGUUGUUGUACGUUGAGCUCGGAUUCUUGUUACGUAUUUCACGUGUAACAUAUUUAAAAACUAAGUUUUCUAUAAAUGUGCUAAGAUAAGUGGUCUAUUAUUUUCCUGUCUUGUUCGAAAUUUCAUUAGUAUUUCCAUAGUUGGAUCUCUCGUGUUCUUAAGUAACUUUGUACUCAGUGGUGUAUAAUUACGCACCAGCUUAGUUAUGUGCUUCGUAAUGGCACUCAAUUCUGCAAAACUGAAAAAAUUUCAGAUGUAAAUUUCAGCCAGCGGAGAAAUGGUCGAAUUUCGGGUUAAAAAAAAAGGGGAGAACUAUUUAAUGAUGCUUCUGAUCAUGCGAACGGUAGUUAGUAUGCGUGGUACAACCCGUAACGUGCAAGAAACACGAAGGGAAAAAAUAGUAGCCAUGAAACAUUAAUGGGUUGCGUAUAAUGUUGGCAUAGCAACUGGAAAUUAUGCUUGUCGAGAAAGGAUCAUCAUUUUUUUUUGCGCAUAAGUAGCGUUAUGAUUUGGCAGUCAUUAGUCAGAAAAUGGAACUUCAACGAUUAUUUCGAAUCGAAUAUCGAUUUAGUCGCGAAUUGGUUGAGCUUGCGCCAUUUUUCCCCUUCCUUCCUUAGGCGCAAGAGUUCUAUAAACCCUGGCUUCUUGUCCUUAGGUCGAAUACUCAAACGAUUAAAUAUUAAAGAAUCUCGGGCAGUUGGGAAACCAGUGAUCGUGUAAUCAGAGAAAGCGCUGAUAUCAUACUGUUUGUCAGACCUGUUACCGGCGUGUUUUAUAUAUAGUUUUUUUUUCCAGAAGUGCGAAGAAAAAAAUUUCAGUAGUAGUACUUCAGUUGUCUUUACAUGCCUUAUAUGACGUAACAGUCUGCAGUUAGAGUUUUAGAUCUUAAUUAGGCUGCCAGAUUUUUCGCUUGGAAAAGAGGAAAGAGUGGGUGUUCCAACAGCAAUUCUAGAAUAAACUGUUCUAUCUACAAUUAUUGUAAUUGUAAUAAUUAUUGUGUUCCAUUUCUCAUGACCCUUUUAAAAAAAUUUGCAAUACUGUUUUCUAAACGUCUUUUCAAUUGGGUUCAAAACAGGAACCACAACACAGGAUACCCGCUAGAGUUGUACCAACGAAGACUAUUCGAUGAAUAUAUACGGUACUAGACCGUGCUUUGUUUAACUAAGCGGGAGAAUGUGCCAUUAUUAUUAUUAUUUUAUUUUAUCCUGUUAUCGGAUGUCCGUAGCACCGCAAGGUACAGACGUGGGAGUAUCGUCGUCUUCGCUGUGCCGUCUGAAGAAAAAAAGCUGUCACCGUGCUGGUUCUUCACGUGAGACGUCCACAGUAGCUGCUGGACACGGCACAAGAUAUCCGUCGAUUCUUGUGCGUGUGACAGCGGCUAUCGUAUAACGUCAUGUAUCAUCCAGACGGAAGAAACGAUUAAAUAAGAGAACUCCCGGUUCGAAUACCGGAGAUGAUCUGCACAAAAAAAAAGGUAAGAUCGAUUUUUUUUAUUCCGCUAUAGGCAAAUAAUCCUUGUUAAACUUAGCCCAUGUGGUUUCUGUCCCACGAUGCAUUUUCCGAAACGUCUCUCUCUCCUUUAAAAUGACCUUGUAAUAUCUAAUUGAUCACGUGAUAAUAAAUGGGUAUAUCACGUGAUAAAAAUAAUUUUUUCCCCGAUUUAGUUAUUUAUCACGCAUGGCCGCCUUCGCAGUCACGUGACGCAUUCGGUCCUAAGAACGUACGAUGUUUACCGCGUACUUCGAGUAAUAAACCAAAAAGCGAGCGCUGAAACUCGAUUAAUUAUCCAUUUUAUGUAAUUAUAUUUAAGGAAGAGCAUCGGUAAGGGCCCGAGUUUGUAGUGCGACGAAAUACAGCGAAAUAAUGCCCCUGGUGUUCUCAGGUACUUACAUUUACUAAAGAUAUGAAUAAACGUAAGCUAGUUUAAACUAUAUUACGGCAAAAGGAAUAGCAAUGUUCAUCCCAACGCCUUCUCUCGCAAUAUUUUAUUCGUCAGUCUAGACGGUGGGAGUGAAAAUUCGAUAUUGCCAGUUCACUGACACUUUGACAUUAAAACCGAUGAGAGCGUAGCGCCAUCUUUUGUCCGGUAAGCAAAAUUGCCGCUUCGGGUUUCUCUCGCAUGCUUCGGUUAAAUUAACUGCCUGUAAAAUUAUAAUUUCGAUUAAAAACGCACACCACAUUAAAAAAACAAACGUUUUAAAAAUAUAUUGAUAAAUUGACGCCAUUUUUAUUCGGUAAUUUAAGAGAAAUUCAUUGUUAUGCGUCAUAAAACACUUGCGAAACGUUAUAAUUAUGAACUAUUGAUGAUAUUUAGAGUUUUUUUUUCGGCUCGAGCGCAGAAAAAUAUUUGCCUUAAUCCAAUAAUCAUAAUAAUGAUUAACUUUUUAGUAAGAAUUGAUUUUUUCCUCCCCCUGCCAGUUCCAAUAUUUGAUUACAUCUAAGAAUGUGACUUUAAAUAUCUAAAUUUGUAUACGAUAAUGUUAGAAAUUCAGAUUUGAAAUAUGAUUUAAAGCUAUGUUAAAGUAAUAUAAGGAAGUUGAGAAAUUGACCAUUGCCAAAAUCCAAUUACCGACCGCGUUAGGAUGCUAAUGUUCGUGAUGCAAUCGAUUGGACUAUUGAUAAGUACCAGCUUAAACUAGUUAACUUUUAUUUUAUGAAUUAAAAACUUUGAACGU
rnacentral:lncRNA from 1 species